GCCUUCGUGGUGUAAUGGUCAGCACACUGAGCUGAUAUUUCAGAGGUCCGUGGUUCGAUCCCCGAACCACGGCA
rfam:Stegodyphus mimosarum contig62685, whole genome shotgun sequence.